UUUUUAUUUAAAAAUUUAUUUAAAAAAAUGUUAGCAUUCAAACUUAAAUCAUUCAGCAUUCCAUCACAUAUGUUAAAAAGUUGUAUAAAGUGCUAUAUGUUUCCUGCUACAUGUUCAAUCAAAUUAAUCUGAUUUACUAUAAACAUUGAUUGUUUGUAGCUUAACGUACAGUGGCAAAUAUUUCAUGAAUACGCAAGACGAGUAAAAUAUAACAUGUGCAGGCUUUAGGAAUAAUCAAAAUCGGUAAUCUGGUUAUAGUUUAUAGCUUCAUUAUAAACAAUGAAAAACGCACGAAAAUAUGACAACGUUUUCAAUGUUCUAUACAUUAGUCGACUUUAUCUGAUGCAACACUAUGUACAGUCAUGCAGAGUGAAACUCAUCGUCUUUGUUAUAUUGAAACAUAUUAGCCAGUCACAAUUAUUCAUGCAUUCAAUUUAGUUUAAUCCCGAUAGAAGUUUUCCACAAUUAUAAUUAUUAUAAGGUCUCCGAGUCAGUUUUGCCAGAGACAUAUUAUAUGUCUCUGGUUUUGCCACACUUUUCCUGAUAAGAGUUAUCUCUCUUUAUCAAUCAUUACGAACUUGUUGCUAAAACAAUACAUUCCCUGUUCUUCUGUAAUUUACUUAAAAGUCGCUCUUCUUUACUUUUCAGAUAUCUUAUCCUUAGUCCUUUUAAUUUAUAGCCCACAAUUACACCAAGAAUGAAUGUUAUUCCGCCGAAAAUAAGCGCACUUUUACCAGAUACUCUACCCGGCGUAUCCGACAUUGUGUCAGCUAAGGGGAAGUAAGCAA
rnacentral:lncRNA from 1 species